GUGCUGAAAGCAUCUAAGCACGAAACUUGCCCCGAGAUGAGUUCUCCCUGAGACUUAGAGUCUCCUGAAGGAACGUUGAAGACGACGACGUUGAUAGGCCGGGUGUGUAAGCGCAGCGAUGCGUUGAGCUAACCGGUACUAAUGAACCGUGAGGCUUAACCUUACAACGCCGAAG
rnacentral:rRNA from 2 species